GCCGCGGUGAAUACGUUCCCGGGCCUUGUACACACCGCCCGUCACACCACGAGAGUUUGUAACACCCGAAGUCGGUGAGGUAACCGUUAAGGAGCCAGCCGCCUAAGGUGGGAUAGAUGAUUGGGGUGAAGUCGUAACAAGGUAGCCGUAUCGGAAGGUGCGGCUGGAUCACCUCCUUUCUAAGGAA
rnacentral:rRNA from 1 species